rnacentral:rRNA from 1 species
UUCCAGACUCCUACGGGAGGCAGCAGUAGGGAAUCUUUCACAAUGGGCGAAAGCCUGAUGGGGCAACGCCGCGUGCAGGAUGAAGGCCUUCGGGUUGUAAACUGCUUUUAUAAGCGAGAAAUAUGAUGGUAACUUAUGAAUAAGGGUCGGCUAACUACGUGUCAGCAGCCGCGGUAAUACGGAGGAUGCGAGCGUUAUCCGGAUUUAUUGGGUUUAAAGGAUGCGCAGGCGGAGAUGCAAGUCAGCGGUCAAAUUGCGGGGCUCAACCCCGUACUGCCGUUGAAACUGCAUCCCUUGAGUGCGCGAGAAGUAUGCGGAAUGCGUGGUGUAGCGGUGAAAUGCAUAGAUAUCACGCAGAACUCCGAUUGCGAAGGCAGCAUACCGGCGCUCAACUGACGCUCAUGCACGAAAGUGUGGGUAUCGAACAGGAUUAGAUACCCGCGUACU